rnacentral:misc_RNA from 1 species
AAAAAAGAAAAGAAGAAAACCUUUUCUUCAGGACAUUAUUGAUUUUGGGAAAAAGAAAAGAAAAGAAAAAAUUAAAAAUGAAGGGAGGUCGAAAUUGUGGAUUAUAAUUAGAUAGAUAGAUAGAAUAUAUUUUUAUUGUAAAAGGAGGGACAAGCUGAUUGCAGACGGCGCGGGAAAGAGAUAGAGAGGGAAUACCCCACGGGAUCCAUAGCGUGGGUGUUUAAGCUUGUCUUUUUAAUUUUCAAUCAAAAAUUGAAUCCACAUUUGACUCAAUUUGUAGUGUUAGGGAUUUUAAUCUUUUAUCAUCAUGAUUUGUGUCAGCCCCCCCAAAAUAAAGUUGUAAAUGGCUACGAUAAUGGAGGUUUUAAUGUUUUUUUUUUUUUUAAAAAAAAAAA